rnacentral:rRNA from 1 species
GGGGGAGCAAGCGUUGUUCGGAUUUACUGGGCGUAAAGGGCGCGUAGGCGGCCUCCGCAAGUCAGUUGUGAAAUCUCCGAGCUUAACUCGGAAAGGUCAACUGAUACUGCGGGGCUAGAGUGCGGAAGGGGCAACUGGAAUUCUUGGUGUAGCGGUGAAAUGCGUAGAUAUCAAGAGGAACACCUGCGGCGAAGGCGGGUUGCUGGGCCGACACUGACGCUGAGGCGCGAAAGCUAGGGGAGCGAACGGGAUUAGAUACCCCGGUAGUCCUAGCCUUAAACGAUGAAUGCUUGGUGUCUGGGGUUAUAUAGUCCCCGGGUGCCGUCGCUAACGCUUUAAGCAUUCCGCCUGGGGAGUACGGUCGCAAGACUG